AGGACUUAGCAAACUAUGGCUAGAGGACAAAAUGUGGCCUGGCAUCUGCCCUUGUAUGGCUCAUGAGCUAAGAAUUGUUUUUACUUUUAUAAAUGGUUGAAAAGUAAUCACAAGAAGAAGAAUAUCUGAUGACAUGUGAAUACUCUCCUCAGCCAGCUGUCUUUCACAGAUCAAACCUGAAGCAAAAUUUUAGACUAGAAAAGCAGUCAACUAAUGAAGAGUGCCAGCCCCUGG
rnacentral:lncRNA from 1 species